GGGACACGUGGUAUCCUGUCUGAAUAUGGGGGGACCAUCCUCCAAGGCUAAAUACUCCUGACUGACCGAUAGUGAACCAGUACCGUGAGGGAAAGGCGAAAAGAACCCCGGCGAGGGGAGUGAAAAAGAACCUGAAACCGUGUACGUACAAGCAGUGGGAGCCUCUUUAUGGGGUGACUGCGUACCUUUUGUAUAAUGGGUCAGCGACUUAUAUUCUGUAGCAAGGUUAACCGAAUAGGGGAGCCGAAGGGAAACCGAGUCUUAACUGGGCGUUAAGUUGCAGGGUAUAGACCCGAAACCCGGUGAUCUAGCCAUGGGCAGGUUGAAGGUUGGGUAACACUAACUGGAGGACCGAACCGACUAAUGUUGAAAAAUUAGCGGAUGACUUGUGGCUGGGGGUGAAAGGCCAAUCAAACCGGGAGAUAGCUGGUUCUCCCCGAAAGCUAUUUAGGUAGCGCCUCGUGAAUUCAUCUCCGGGGGUAGAGCACUGUUUCGGCAAGGGGGUCAUCCCGACUUACCAACCCGAUGCAAACUGCGAAUACCGGAGAAUGUUAUCACGGGAGACACACGGCGGGUGCUAACGUCCGUCGUGAAGAGGGAAACAACCCAGACCGCCAGCUAAGGUCCCAAAGUCAUGGUUAAGUGGGAAACGAUGUGGGAAGGCCCAGACAGCCAGGAUGUUGGCUUAGAAGCAGCCAUCAUUUAAAGAAAGCGUAAUAGCUCACUGGUCGAGUCGGCCUGCGCGGAAGAUGUAACGGGGCUAAACCAUGCACCGAAGCUGCGGCAGCGACACUAUGUGUUGUUGGGUAGGGGAGCGUUCUGUAAGCCUGUGAAGGUGUGCUGUGAGGUAUGCUGGAGGUAUCAGAAGUGCGAAUGCUGACAUAAGUAACGAUAAAGCGGGUGAAAAGCCCGCUCGCCGGAAGACCAAGGGUUCCUGUCCAACGUUAAUCGGGGCAGGGUGAGUCGACCCCUAAGGCGAGGCCGAAAGGCGUAGUCGAUGGGAAACAGGUUAAUAUUCCUGUACUUGGUGUUACUGCGAAGGGGGGACGGAGAAGGCUAUGUUGGCCGGGCGACGGUUGUCCCGGUUUAAGCGUGUAGGCUGGUUUUCCAGGCAAAUCCGGAAAAUCAAGGCUGAGGCGUGAUGACGAGGCACUACGGUGCUGAAGCAACAAAUGCCCUGCUUCCAGGAAAAGCCUCUAAGCAUCAGGUAACAUCAAAUCGUACCCCAAACCGACACAGGUGGUCAGGUAGAGAAUACCAAGGCGCUUGAGAGAACUCGGGUGAAGGAACUAGGCAAAAUGGUGCCGUAACUUCGGGAGAAGGCACGC
rnacentral:rRNA from 1 species